AGUGAACGCUGGCGGUAUGCCUAACACAUGCAAGUCGAACGGCAGCACAGUAAGAUCUUGCUCUUACGGGUGGCGAGUGGCGGACGGGUGAGGAAUACAUCGGAAUCUACUUUUUCGUGGGGGAUAACGUAGGGAAACUUACGCUAAUACCUCAUACGACCUACGGGUGAAAGCAGGGGAUCUUCGGACCUUGCGCGAUUGAAUGAGCCGAUGUCGGAUUAGCUAGUUGGCGGGGUAAAGGCCCACCAAGGCGACGAUCCGUAGCUGGCCUGAGAGGAUGAUCAGCCACACUGGAACUGAGACACGGUCCAGACUCCUACGGGAGGCAGCAGUGGGGAAUAUUGGACAAUGGGCGCAAGCCUGAUCCAGCCAUACCGCGUGAGUGAAGAAGGCCUUCGGGUUGUAAAGCCCUUUUGUUGGGAAAGAAAAGCAGCAGGUUAAUACCCCGCUGUUCUGACGGUACCCAAAGAAUAAGCACCGGCUAACUUCGUG
rnacentral:rRNA from 1 species